UGCCCGGUGGUGUAAUUGGCAACACACGAGAUUCUGGCUCUUGCAUUUGGGGUUCAAGUCCCUACCGGGCAG
rnacentral:tRNA from 1 species